AGCUGAUCACUGGGCGUAAAGCGUGCGCAGGCGGUGAUGUAAGACAGAGGUGAAAUCCCCGGGCUCAACCUGGGAACUGCCUUUGUGACUGCAUCGCUGAAGUGCGGCAGAGGGGGAUGGAAUUCCGCGUGUAGCAGUGAAAUGCGUAGAUAUGCGGAGGAACACCGAUGGCGAAGGCAAUCCCCUGGGCCUGCACUGACGCUCAUGCACGAAAGCGUGGGGAGCAAACA
rnacentral:rRNA from 1 species